UCUUCUUCCAACUCUGCCUAUAGAUCGAUUCCUUCUUUAUCACUCUCCCGAUUCAUCUUCCACCUAACAACCACAACAAACCCAGUAAUUAGGAAUGGAUUAAAUGUCUCCGAGAAGGGGUUAGGGGAACUUUAAAGAUGAAGACAGAGAUGGGGUUACUGGUUGAUGGGAGGCUAUAAAACUUGAUUUGAACCAUGGAGCGUUGACGGAAGGCUAAAAAACUUGGGUUAAAUACCGUGGUCACCAGAUGCCUUUCGCGAAGAAUCGACGCAUCAAGUGGGCGGACGAGGACGUGGAUAAGAACUACAAGCCAGCCCUCGCCACAACGCCGUCAUCCAAUUCUGAUAAUCCCUCUCCUCUUGGAAAUCCCCACACCGCCGUAUUUGAUCGAGGGGACAAUCCACAGAUGGUGAAGCAAAGGUUGAGGUAGUGAGCUUAGGUGGUUGCUUAUGCUUAGAGUGAAGAGUGCGUUGUCGACGGCACAGAGCAAAAGGUGUGAGUGAUUGCAAGAAUGGGCCUUUUAAUCCCUUUCUUCUUCUUCCUCGUCGUCGUUCACUUGGGUAAAGAACGGAAUGGCAGUAAUAAACAUGAUUUGAAUGGAACUGUGGAGCAAGAUGUUCAGCUGGGAAUUUACAUGCUACACAUGAUCUUGAAGUUCUACCAUGUGCAAUACAGAGUAUCCGAACAUCAAUGCUUAAGCUAUAUGUGCAAUUCAUAUUAGGGGAUUUGUUUGGUACAUAGCAACCUCUUUUAUAAAUCCAAGUUCACACUUUUGUGUAUGUGGACAACUGAUAUGUGCAGAUGCAUUAGAUGA